CCCGUCGCGGGGACUUAGCACGAGGGAGCUCGCCUCGGAGCUGCAGCCGACGCCUGAGUCCUGACCAAGGACUUCUCCUCGGCCAUGUCUGCUGCGCUAUCGCUCUCUUCACCGGCUGGAUCGGAGUCGCAGCCACCACAGAUGGAUCGGAGUCGGCAGCCGCCGCCCUCGUCUCCCGCGGGAUCGGACGCAAUUCGUCAAGGUUCCAAGUGAUCAUAAGCUACCAUCUCUUUAUCCGCUCGACAGUAUAGUCAAGAAUAUUGGAAAAUAUUAUCACUGCUUGUAUUAAACAGUUAUUGCUUGACAAUAUAGUCUCUCCAUACUCUUUCUUACUCCUGGAUAAGUUUCUCUUUAUGAAUGUGCACGUCAGUUCUUGUGAUAAACCAUAUUCAUGACAAAGAUAAUGAACCAGUUUAUUUUUAUGA